AAGUAAAUCAAAAAAAUGAGAUAAAGACUGGGCUCUAAGGAGCUCCGUUUCAGAUCAGCAUUGCCAGUAUGACUUUAAAGCGUGAGCACCAAGAAUCAGCUUGGACCUACCUUGCUUGGAUACUACUGGUCAACUCCCAGAGAGACACUGAUUGCAUGAGACUGCCCCUUCUGGCAGCUGGUCUGUUUUACUUUUCUUUUCUUUCUCUUUUUCUUAAAUAACAACAGGAUUCUGCAGAAAGUGUUACCUAGGCUACCCUAAAUUAUCUUCAUUAAUACUGGGAAGCAGUGAUACAUCCAGUCAGAACCUGCAUCUGUGAAGGAAGAUGUCUUUGUGUUAAUCAGUAC
rnacentral:lncRNA from 1 species